UACGUAGGGUGCAAGCGUUGUCCGGAUUCAUUGGGCGUAAAGGGCUCGUAGGCGGUUUGUUGCGUCGGCUGUGAAAUCCCGAGGCUCAACCUCGGGUCUGCAGUCGAUACGAGCAAACUAGAGUGUUGCAGGGGAGACUGGAAUUCCUGGUGUAGCGGUGAAAUGCGCAGAUAUCAGGAGGAACACCGGUGGCGAAGGCGGGUCUCUGGGCCGAUACUGACGCUGAGGAGCGAAAGCGUGGGGAGCGAACAGG
rnacentral:rRNA from 1 species